ensembl:snRNA U6 U6 spliceosomal RNA
GUGCUCACUUUGGCAGCACAUACUAAAAUGGAAUGAUACAGAAAAUAUUAGCAUGGCCCCUUCACAAGGAUGGCAUGCAAAUUUGUGAAAUGUUCCAUAUUUUU